rnacentral:rRNA from 1 species
GACAGAGGGUGCAAACGUUGUUCGGAAUUACUGGGCGUAAAGCGAGUGUAGGCGGUUUGGUAAGUCGGAUGUGAAAGCCCCGGGCUCAACCCGGGAAGUGCACUCGAUACUGUCAAGCUAGAGUAUCGGAGAGGUUGGUGGAAUUCUCGGUGUAGAGGUGAAAAUUCGUAGAUAUCGAGAGGAACACCGGUGGCGAAGGCGGCCAACUGGACGAAUACUGACGCUGAGACUCGAAAGCGUGGGGAGCAAACAGG